rnacentral:rRNA from 1 species
AUACGUAGGGGGCGAGCGUUGUCCGGAAUGAUUGGGCGUAAAGGGCGCGUAGGCGGCCCGGUAAGUCUGGAAUGAAAGUCCUGUUUUUAAGAUGGGAAUUGCUUUGGAUACUGUCGGGCUUGAGUGCAGGAGAGGUAAGUGGAAUUCCCAGUGUAGCGGUGAAAUGCGUAGAGAUUGGGAGGAACACCAGUGGCGAAGGCGACUUACUGGACUGUAACUGACGCUGAGGCGCGAAAGUGUGGGGAGCAAACAGGAUUAGAUACCCUGGUAGUCCACACUGUAAACGAUGAAUGCUAGGUGUAGGGGGACUGACCCCCUCCGUGCCGCAGUUAACACAAUAAGUGUUCCACCUGGGGAGUACUGCCGCAAGGUUGAAACUCAAAUGAAUUGGCGGGG